rnacentral:rRNA from 1 species
GCAAGUCGAGCGGACAGAAGGGAGCUUGCUCCCGGAUGUUAGCGGCGGACGGGUGAGUAACACGUGGGUAACCUGCCUGUAAGACUGGGAUAACUCCGGGAAACCGGAGCUAAUACCGGAUAGUUCCUUGAACCGCAUGGUUCAAGGAUGAAAGACGGUUUCGGCUGUCACUUACAGAUGGACCCGCGGCGCAUUAGCUAGUUGGUGAGGUAACGGCUCACCAAGGCGACGAUGCGUAGCCGACCUGAGAGGGUGAUCGGCCACACUGGGACUGAGACACGGCCCAGACUCCUACGGGAGGCAGCAGUAGGGAAUCUUCCGCAAUGGACGAAAGUCUGACGGAGCAACGCCGCGUGAGUGAUGAAGGUUUUCGGAUCGUAAAGCUCUGUUGUUAGGGAAGAACAAGUGCAAGAGUAACUGCUUGCACCUUGACGGUACCUAACCAGAAAGCCACGGCUAACUACGUGCCAGCAGCCGCGGUAAUACGUAGGUGGCAAGCGUUGUCCGGAAUUAUUGGGCGUAAAGGGCUCGCAGGCGGUUUCUUAAGUCUGAUGUGAAAGCCCCCGGCUCAACCGGGGAGGGUCAUUGGAAACUGGGAAACUUGAGUGCAGAAGAGGAGAGUGGAAUUCCACGUGUAGCGGUGAAAUGCGUAGAGAUGUGGAGGAACACCAGUGGCGAAGGCGACUCUCUGGUCUGUAACUGACGCUGAGGAGCGAAAGCGUGGGGAGCGAACAGGAUUAGAUACCCUGGUAGUCCACGCCGUACACGAUGAGUGCUAAGUGUUAGGGGGUUUCCGCCCCUUAGUGCUGCAGCUAACGCAUUAAGCACUCCGCCUGGGGAGUACGGUCGCAAGACUGAAACUCAAGGAAUUGACGGGGGCCCGCACAAGCGGUGGAGCAUGUGGUUUAAUUCGAAGCAACGCGAGAACCUUACCAGGUCUUGACAUCCUCUGACAACCCUAGAGAUAGGGCUUUCCCUUCGGGGACAGAGUGACAGGUGGUGCAUGGUUGUCGUCAGCUCGUGUCGUGAGAUGUUGGGUUAAGUCCCGCACGAGCGCACCCUGGAUCUAGUGCCAGCAUUCAGUGGGCACUCUAGGUGACUGCCGGUGACAACGAGAAGGUGGGGAUGACGUCAAUCAU